CCGACCACCGCCGCCCGCACACGCUAGCAGGGUGACGUCGGUCGGCGGCGGCGCGGCCUCCCAGGAAUCCUUGUGAUAUUCUUCCUCAGCACCCACAACCCCUGUUUGUUGAAGACUUUGGCCAAAACUGCUCUCAGCUAUUGGCAUCAUUCUGAGAAAAGGACAGCUUUCAAACAUCAGGGAAACUUUCAGGAGACUUUUGGCCCCAGUGGAUCUUUUGAAGGCUUUGGCGGGUUGGAGCCUGACCUGACCAGUCUGGACAGAAUUGAUCUCCCCAGCCUCUUCUACCACGCACCCGGUAGCUAUG